AACUCUGUGCCAGCAGCCGCGGUAAUACAGAGGUCUCAAGCGUUGUUCGGAAUCACUGGGCGUAAAGGGUGCGUAGGUGGCGUGGCAAGUCAGAUGUGAAAGCCCGGGGCUCAACCUCGGAAUUGCAUCCGAUACUGCCAUGCUGGAGUACUGAAGAGGUGACUAGAAUUCUCGGUGUAGCAGUGAAAUGCGUAGAUAUCGAGAGGAAUACCAACGGCGAAGGCAGGUCACUGGGCAGUUACUGACACUGAGGCACGAAGGCCAGGGGAGCGAACGGGAUUAGAUACCCCGGUAGUCCUGGCAGUAAACGGUGCACGUUUGGUGUGGGCGCAAUCGACCGCGUCCGCGCCGUAGCUAACGCGUUAAGCGUGCCGCCUGGGAAGUACGGUCGCAAGAUUAAAACUCAAAGAAAUUGACGGGG
rnacentral:rRNA from 1 species